AUUAUAUUGGAUCAUGGUUGUUUAAAUGGAAUGCUUAAUUUGAGUUUAAUGGAGAAGCACUCGUUUCAUAUAAUAUAAAUCUAUGCAUAUAUAACUGGAAAAGAAAAAUAAAGUGUUCUCUGAUAAGCAGUUACUAAGAGACAAAAAGAAAUAAGUGUCCCUCACGUUAUUAUAUAGUUACAGCUUUGGACAUUUUAUGAAUUGAAAAACAAACUUUCAUCUCAUCGGCUGCUAUGUAAUCUUUUACUGGUUCUGGCUAGUAUUUUCUAGCUCACUUUAUGUACCCCUGUCUGCAGCCCUCAACUUCUUUCCUGAGACUAGAAGUUUUCUUCAUAGUUUUGGCUCUCACUCCGCUGAACCAGAUUUUCUUGGGAUUUAUUUAGAGCAUUCAACAACCACAGUACUGUUAAAUCUGAUCUUUCUUGACUUCCUUGUUGAUGUCUCUAUGUGGCGAGCUAGGCUGACUAAUGGAUUGGGUCUUGUAACUGGGUGAUCUGCAAGGCAAAGAAAGUUAAAAAGCAUCGGACCUUGUGCUUCAAGAUGCCUUUCGAUGGUCAAGUUAGUGUUGUAGCAAGAGGGAAAGCCAGAUAUAAGAUGAUAAUGGUAAAACAGAAUAGAGAUUAUACCUGAAUUAGUAUCUAUAGUAGAUCUUCAGCUGCCUGUUUGUGCCCAGAUCUACUGGUUGGCCUGUUGUGAUGUCUCAUAUUUCAUGGAGCUGUUCUAAGUAUUUCUUAGACCUUAAUUGGAUCUUGGUGUAUGUAGGUGUAGGUAUAACAUGGAUUAUUGAACAGAAGGAAAGGAACCAAAGUCCAAAGAUAAGAAUGAGAGAAGGGCGAAGACAAGUUAGAGAAGGAAAUUGAAGGCAAUAAAAAUAAUAGUAAUAAUGCUGCUAAUUGGAUUUGAAUUGGAGAACAAAUUCCAGGAAAUAUCUAAAGUAGAUUGAGAUUCAUAAGGAUUGACUUCGAAGUUUGUCUAACUUGCCAUGCACUUCUCUAAUGCUUUCCUUGGCUUCUUCUGGGUUUCUUUUAUUAAUCUCUCUUCUUCUUUGGGUUUUGGCUGUGAGGCAAUUUAUAAG
rnacentral:lncRNA from 1 species